UCCAUGCUGCCCCAGCUGUUCCUUCUAUGUGGGUCCUUCUCCCUCCAGAAUUCCCGAGGCUCCUUAUUUAGAUCUAAGCUGAGAAGUUACUUCAUUACAUCAUCCUACAUUAUAUUCUUCUCAGUAAGCACUACUGUGGGAAACUAUCUUGAUUAUGUGUUUGUGAACUUUGUUUCCCAUCUACCUCCUCACCAGAAUAUAAGCUGUUCUGGCUGUUCAGUCCAAGGCUGUAAUACCAGAGUCAAAAAUGGCCUGCCAGAUUUUGCUGAAUGAGUGUAAGUGAGUGAAAGGUGAUUCUGGGAGCCUGGAGUGGGACAAUCCCAGUCAGGCCACAGGAUCUUAGUGCAGGACUGCAUAUGCCAGAGGUCAGAAUACUGAGGUGCUGAGAAUGAAGGACUCUAGGAUUUCCUAGGGCUUGGCAUUGCAUUAAAGAGAGGGCGAACUAGGGCUGAAGAUGUCCCAGGUCCUAAAAACCAGCUGCACGUGGUGCAAGCUGCGUGCCGGGGGAGGGGACACCCUAUUCUGGGCACCCUCCCCGCCCGCCACUCGACUCCGCCCGCUCUCUCAGCUAGCCAAGCCUGCUGUUUAUCCUCGCGGGGACACAGCGGCUGCAGGAACAACAUGUAAUUGAUAACAAGCCCAGCGCUGGCCAAGGGCUUGCCAUUGGGUCAGCGUGCAAAUCACGGGGGUGGCGGGUGGGGGCUUUCCUUCAAAAUAAGAGUCUCCACUCCCUGCGCCACCCGCAGGCCCCAAAGUCGCCAAGUCUUUCCAUUCUCACACCUGUAGGGCAGCGGGGGUGCUCCUCACGGGCCACCCUGUCCUUGGGAGGGAAGAGAUUCCAAGGGCUCACCUUCGCGGGACCGCGGGAGAAAACAGCCCCCUGCCCUACGGAAGAGAGGCUUUCCACGGCUCAGCACGUUGAAGCAGCCAUGACAACGCAACCAAAGACACUCACAAAAAGGACUUUCAGAACUGCAUUAGAAAGUGUGAUGGAGAUGGAGUUCAGGACUUUGCACAUACUAAAUAUGUGUUCUUCUUCUGAGCUGCACCCCUAACCUCUAUCCUACUAUUUCAUAAAGAGAAAUCAGAAAAGCAGAAUUUGUGAGUCAAAGGGUAUUACAACUGGUAUUUGGGAGCAAGUUGCCCUCUAGAAGCUACUUAAUGUAGAUUGCUGCCAUCCAGGAGUCAUAGUGUUUGUUUCCCAUGUUUCUGUUAGCACUAGGACAAUAAACACAUUUUAU